CUCACCCUUGAGAUUCUUUUCUGGCUUACUGGAGAGGACUACCCAGUAGUGAAGAAGACCUCUAGUGACCACUGCCAGGACCCUGUGUCUGAAGAACGGGGAAGAACCCUGAGCCCAAUCAUGGGGUCUCCACCUCAUCCCCUGAUACAUGAGGAAAUCAAUAGAGAGAAGAUCCUAGAGCUCACCAACAAGAUGAUUGAGCUGCUGACUGGAGAGGUUCCUAUAAGG